rnacentral:misc_RNA from 1 species
AUUUUUUUUUUUCCCCUUUUAGAAUUUAUAAAUCUGAGUGUGAAAGAACACAUGCAGUGAUCAGUGAUGCAGAUUGCAGACACUCAUGAAAUAGCAACAGAAGCUCAGUCUGCCCAGAUUUACACUCAAAUUCCAUAACUUUGAUUUUGGUAUUCUUAUCACGAUUUUCCUCCCUUCAGAAUAAAAGGUCUUUCCUUUUGAUUGGUUGUGGUUGAGGUGGAAUUCGAACCCUCAACUCCAUGAUUUGUAGUCAUAUCCUCCAAUCUUUUGAGCUAGACCUAGUCACAGACUUGGCUAUCGAUUCGAUUUGGGUCAAAAUUGGCAUUUCAGGGCAUGAAUAG